CUCCCAGACUCCUACGGGAGGCAGCAGUGAGGAAUAUUGGUCAAUGGGCGGGAGCCUGAACCAGCCAAGUCGCGUGAGGGACGACGGUCCUAUGGAUUGUAAACCUCUUUUGCCGGGGAGCAACGGGCGCCACGUGUGGCGCCACUGAGAGUACCCGGAGAAAAAGCAUCGGCUAACUCCGUGCCAGCAGCCGCGGUAAUACGGAGGAUGCGAGCGUUAUCCGGAUUUAUUGGGUUUAAAGGGUGCGUAGGCGGUCCGUUAAGCCAGCGGUAAAAUUGCGGGGCCAAACCCCGUCGAGCCGUUGAAACUGGCAGACUUGAGUUGGCGAGAAGUACGCGGAAUGCGCGGUGUAGCGGUGAAAUGCAUAGAUAUCGCGCAGAACUCCGAUUGCGAAGGCAGCAUGCCGGCUCCACACUGACGCUGAGGCACGAAAGCGUGGGUAUCGAACAGGAUUAGAUACCCGUGUAC
rnacentral:rRNA from 1 species